rnacentral:sRNA from 1 species
GAGCCGGAAAGUGAGGCGUCCUCUGUCAU